GAUGAACGCUGGCGGCGUGCCUAAUACAUGCAAGUAGAACGCUGAAGGAAGGAGCUUGCUCUUUCCGGAUGAGUUGCGAACGGGUGAGUAACGCGUAGGUAACCUGCCUGGUAGCGGGGGAUAACUAUUGGAAACGAUAGCUAAUACCGCAUAACAGUAGAUGUUGCAUGAUAUCUACUUAAAAGGUGCAAUUGCACCACUACCAGAUGGACCUGCGUUGUAUUAGCUAGUUGGUGAGGUAACGGCUCACCAAGGCGACGAUACAUAGCCGACCUGAGAGGGUGAGUGGCCACACUGGGACGGAGACACGGCCCAGAGUGCUUCGGGAGGCAGCAGUAGGGAAGCUUCGGCAAGGGACGGAAGACUGACCGAGAUACGCCGCGUGAGUGAAGAAGGUUUUCGGAUCGGAAAGCUCGGUUGUAAGGGAAGAACGAGUGUGAGAGUGGAAAGUUCACACUGUGACGGUAUCUGGCCAGAAAGGGACGGCUAACUACGUG
rnacentral:rRNA from 1 species